rnacentral:lncRNA from 1 species
UAAAAUUUAAUAAAUAAACAUUUAGAGUGUAUUGAAACAUCUCCUUUGGGAAUUCUGACUACUGUUUUUAAUCAUGUUCAUGUCAGGAAGAAAGAAAAUCCUGAAGAUAAAUUUCACUGUGUUUAUACUUCUUUGGUAGUUUCCUACAUUUUCACCAGUGAUUCCCAAAAGAAUUUAGACAAGGAAACUUCAAAGAGAAAAGUUCUAACUGAAAAGUUCUAACUAAUAAGUUGUACUUUCUCUUUCAGUUUUUCAAAUUGUUU